GGUUUUGUAUCAUUCUCGUUUGUUUUUUCGGUCUGAACACAUCUAAAUUUGUUGUGUAGUCUCCAAUUAUUUUUUUUCGUUCGGUUCAAAAACUUUUUACGGAUUCAUCAUGUGCUGUGGACCUUGUGGACCUUGCUGCGGAUCCUGCUGCGGUCCUUGCGGAUCCUGCUGUGGUCCUUGCGGCGGAGGAUGUGGACCCUGCUUUGGACCCAAUGUCUGCGGACCUUGCUACGCAUGUGGACCCUGUGGCGGCUGCUACUGUGGAUAUCCUUGCUGCUAGGCCAGCUGAUUGGGGAAUUUCCAGAGGGUUUGGCUAGUGUAUGCAAAUCUAAGUAAUAACCCAAAAACAGGAUGCCUUACAAAUACCUCCUGUCCAUCACAAAUACUGCUAAGCUUUCAUCUCAUAUCCGUGAGCCACCAAAGAAGUAAUUUGAGACCAACAUUAAAUAUGAAGUUUAACUUCUAA